UCCAAGUGCUGGGACUACAAGCAUGGGCCACCAUGCUUGGCUUGAACUCAAGACGGUCACAAAGCUGGUACCCAGACAAUCUGACUCUAGAGCCAGUGUCCUCCCAAAACUCCAAUAACUACACAGCCAUGGCAAGGAGAGCCAAAUGACCAGUAAGGCAAUGAUAGCAACAGCUGACACUUACAUAGCACCUACUGUGUGCCUGGUACUGUCUUGACACUCACUGAUUUCCCAUGAUGCCCUGGGAGGGGAUGCUGUCUUGACACUCACUGAUUUCCCAUGGUGCUCUGGGAAAGGAUGCUGUCUUGAUACUCACUGCCAAGGCAGGUCGUCCCAUGCAUCCUAGAGUCACUGACCUCCUAGCUGCCAGGACGGUGCUCCCAAGUCAUCUUGUUCCUUCAGCACUGUCCCUGAGAGUCCAGAGGAACAGUGGGGCUGCAGAGUCAGCCCCUUUCCUUGGUGCUGUGGGGCUGGGAAGAAAAUCCUGGCUGUCUCGGGCUUUCUCAAGUGCCCCCCACCUUUGAAUCAUCCCAGUGACGCCCCUGCCAUCCCUGCCUUUGCCCUGGUGACUCAGGACCUCAGAGAUCUGGGUUGUUGAAGAGGGAAUUGCAACAUGCAGGAGAAAAGAGAAGGAGAAGCUAGCGUGAGGAAGUUUGGGUGUAAGGAAAGUGCCCAGAUCCCACCCCCCACAUCCUGACUGAAUGGGGGCCGGUUUUGGGGGGCGCUGGACUGGUUUCCUGGCUCUUCUAGAAAGAUCUUCAACUGCUGUACCUACACAAGGCCAUGCAAAGGGUCCCUCUGCUGUUUGGAGCUAAUUGAAACACAACUCCCAAAAAGACACCAAAAGCAAGGGGACACUUGUCGGCCAGUUUGAUUUGGACUCGGGCCUUUUGUGUGUGACCGGUGGUGGAUCCAGCUGUUUCCUGUAGAUCAGAGAGGAGGACCCUCUUGCAGGUGGUCCGAGGAUGGAGGUGACGAAGCCUGGGAGUGCUCAGCCUUCCCAGGAGUGUGCUUGCUGGGCAAGUGUCCCUGUCCCUGUCCCUGUCCCAGGCUGUGAAGGGACAGAAAAGUCGUCCGGUUUUCUUCAGACCUUUGACCAGGUCAAGGGACAGUCCUGGGACCCGGUGCUGGGCCCCGGGCAGCAUCCUGGUCCCAGCCUGGAAUAGGAUGGAGCUGUGCUGGGAGCAUUGCGAUGUCAUUGUGGCUUUUACCUCAGUUCUCGGCAGCAGGGCUUGGGAAAUAAAAUUUUGAUCUUGGAAAA